rnacentral:rRNA from 1 species
CCUACGGGGAGCAGCAGUGAGGAAUAUUGGUCAAUGGACGAGAGUCUGAACCAGCCAAGUAGCGGGAAGGAUGACUGCCCAAUGGGUUGUAAACGUCUAUUAUAGGGGAAUAAAAUGUUCCACGUGUGGGAGUUUGUAUGUACCAUAUGAAUAAGGAUCGGCUAACUCCGUGCCAGCAGCCGCGGUAAUACGGAGGAUCCGAGCGUUAUCCGGAUUUAGUGGGUUUAAAGGGAGCGUAGGUGGAUUGUUAAGUCAGUUGUGAAAGUUUGCGGCUCAACCGUAAAAUUGCAGUUGAAACUGGCAGUCUUGCGUACAGUAGAGGUGGGCGGCAUUCGUGUUGUAGCGG